GGACUUACUCUUCGGAGUGAGAGCGUACACAGGUGCUGCAUGGCUGUCGUCAGCUCGUGUCGUGAGAUGUUGGGUAAGUCCCGCAACGAGCGCAACCCUGCAUUCAGUUGCCAUCGGUAAGCCGGGCACUCUGGAUGGACUGCCGGCGACAAGCCGGAGGAAGUGGGGGAUGACGUCAAGUCAUCAUGGCCCUUAUGUCCAGGGCGACACACGUGCUACAAUGGCCGGCACAACGGGAAGCGAAGGGGCGACCCUGAGCGGAUCCCCAUAAAAGCCGGUCCCAGUUCGGAUUGCAGUCUGCAACUCGACUGCAUGAAGUUGGAAUCGCUAGUAAUCGUGGAUCAGCCAAGCCGCGGUGAAUACGUUCCCGGGCCUU
rnacentral:rRNA from 1 species